AUCCAAAUGACGAGUUUCAAACAAAACGAAACACGAGUCUUGGAU
rnacentral:hammerhead_ribozyme from 1 species